ensembl:misc_RNA Metazoa_SRP Metazoan signal recognition particle RNA
UCCGGGCGUGGUGAUGUAUGCUUGUAGUCCCAGCUACUUGGGAGGCUGAGGCAGGAGGAUCACUUGAGCCCAGGAGUUUGAGGCUGCAGUGAGUUCUGAUUGCACCACUGCACUCCAGCCUGGGCAAAAGAGUAAGACCCUGUCUCAC